GGGGGGUACGAGAGGGCCGCUACCACGCGAGUGGAUGCCAAUCCCUAAAACCCCUCUCAGUUCGGACUGGAGUCUGCAACCCGACUCCACGAAGCUGGAUUCGCUAGUAAUCGCGCAUCAGCCACGGCGCGGUGAAUACGUUCCCGGGCCUUGUACACACCGCCCGUCAAGCCAUGGGAGCUGGGGGUGCCUGAAGUUCGUGACCGCAAGGAUCGACCUAGGGCAAAACCGGUGACUGGGGCUAAGUCGUAACAAGGUAUC
rnacentral:rRNA from 1 species